rnacentral:tRNA from 1 species
AUUGAGUUGACAGAUUAAUAAUGUAUUAAAUUUAGAAUUUAAUUAUGUAUGUCUUUACAUACACUUAAUA